AUUGAACGCUGGCGGCAGGCCUAACACAUGCAAGUCGAACGAGUGGCGGACGGGUGAGUAAUGUCUGGGAAACUGCCCGCUGGAGGGGGAUAACUACUGGAAACGGUAGCUAAUACCGCAUACCAUCGGAUGUGCCCAGCUGGGCUUAGCUAGUUGGUGGGGUAAAGGCCUACCAAGGCGACGAUCCGUAACUGGUCUGAGAGGAUGACCAGCCACACUGGAAAGGAGACACGGUCCAGACUCCGACGGGAGGCAGAAGUGGGGAAGAUUGCACAAUUGGCGCAAGCCGGAUGCAGCCAUGCCGAGUGUAUGAAGAAGGCCUGCGGGUUGUAAAGUACUGUCAGCGGGGAGGCGUUACCCGCAGAAGAAGCACCGGCUAACUCCGUGCCAGCAGCCGCGGUAAUAC
rnacentral:rRNA from 1 species